rnacentral:lncRNA from 1 species
CGUAUGGAGAUGCUGUAGGUGACCCAGUAUGAUAAAUGAAGAUGUGAUCAACUUGUCCAAUAUCCUGAUAUGUAUGUCUGAUAAUGUCAUUCAAUUGGCCCAAUAUGAUUAAUUACUAUGAUUCAUCAUUAGCAGCAAUGGCAUGUUGUGUGAAAAUUGCUAUCUCAUCCAAAUUCUCCAUCUGUAUAAAUCAUACAAUAUAGUUAAUGAUUAGAACUAAAAUGAAGACUUAAUGAAUUGAAAUUCAAUAUGACAUUGACAUAAGACAUAAUUUUCGUAGCAUUACCAAAAUAUGUAUAGUAGAACUCUCACCCUCAUAUCCUGAAACUACAUACGAGACUGUCCUAUAAUCCGUAUUGUAAUUGCUAAGAAACCAAGCCAUGUAGUUCUCAGUAUAUGGAUGGCAUCCCAAUAUGUGAUCACUAUGAACUAUGUGAUCUCGUCGUACAUUCCAAAUGGUGAUAUACUCUGCAUGCUUGAUACGUCAGUUAACAUGAGCUCUCCCUUAUCGAUCAAUAUGAUGAAGUCGCUGGCUGGUAUCAAGCUGCUCUGGGAUGCCCUGAAUCUGAUAAACUACCGCAGCAGCACACGAUCUGAAAGGUGCCACUCCACUAUAUUAAAACAAAUAAGCGGCACCCUAGCAGCCUAUAUAUCAUGUCCAUCCGUGCACAUCUGUAUAAUAUGGACAAUAUCUCCUUUGUGUAUGGCUCUCACCAAAACUGGCAGAGUUAAAAAUAAAAUCGAAUUAAUAAGCUCAUUUUUCAGUAGAUUAUAAAUACUAUAUAAUGAUUUUUGCACAUAAAUCAAAAUUAUCCAUUUACGUAUAUCAAUCAAUGUAUCAAGUUAACAUCUAUAAAUCCGUGCCACCUUCAUCGAUAAGUGAUAAAUGUUGAAUGCAACGUUCCAUUUACUUGACAGUGUUCAUAUUAAUUAAACUUCAUCGGAUUAAAAAUAGUACUAAGUUUCAAGUAAUGAAACCAAUAUUUUUAUACCUAUAUCUUCAAGGUGCGUCUAGUCUGAAUAAAACAUUGAGAUCUUGUUGUUCUGGUGGCAUCUCAAGCAAUUAUCACCACUAUGGAUGGAUAGUCGACAUCCUUUCCCAUGCCUAUAUCUGUCAAUUCUCAAAAAAUUAUAUAUUAUAUGCCCAAUCAGAGCUAUAAUAGAAUAUAGAAAAUUAAAAUUUAUAUAUCAUAUAUCUGUAAUAAUACAAGAUAACCAUCAACUCUGAUUGAUCAUGAUAAAAACUCUAGUAUAUAGCCAUGUAUAGACAAACUAGUACUGUACUGCCCCAACUGAGCCUAUGAGUAAAAUCUAAAUCUUCCAACAAUAGUAAAAGCAUCAACUUUACCUUGUUAUAUGAAGUAUUAAGCAAAAUGGCACCCCCUAGCAACCGCAGUACUUGGCCCCUAACAUACUGUUGCACCAUCUCCUUUGGUGUAUCAUCCUCAAUGGACAAAUAUCAAUACUGAUCAUCCAAACACUAUCCACGAUCGUGAAUGAUCAAAGAACUAGGCCUUGAGCUCAAACCCUAGUAACCGGAAGCACGUAGCUUGCCACUCUAGAAUGCUAAGCAUGAGAUCAGCUCCUAUAACUACAUCCCCAUCAACUGAUAGUCCGGUGAGGAUAUUAAUAUCCUGUAACGUGAUGGUCGUCUCACCGA